rnacentral:rRNA from 1 species
UACGUAGGGGGGCAAGCGUUUGUCCGGAAUCAUUGGGCGUAAGGCGCGCGUAGGCGGCCCGGUAAGUCCGUUGUGAAAGUCAAAGGCUCAACCUUUGAACGCCGAUGGAUACUGCCGGGCUAGAGUCCGGAAGAGGCGAGUGGAAUUCCUGGUGUAGCGGUGGAAUGCGCAGAUAUCAGGAGGAACACCAAUAGCGAAGGCAGCUCGCUGGGACGGUACUGACGCUGAGGCGCGAAAGCGUGGGGAGCGAACAGG